AGCUGGAAACUGUCAUAAAAUC
rnacentral:miRNA from 1 species